rnacentral:rRNA from 1 species
AUUGAACGCUGGCGGCAGGCUUAACACAUGCAAGUCGAACGGUAACAUGGGUGCUUGCACCUGAUGACGAGUGGCGGACGGGUGAGUAAUGUAUGGGGAUCUGCCGAAUGGAAUGGGACAACAGUUGGAAACGACUGCUAAUACCGUAUAAUGUCGCGAGACCAAAGUGUGGGACUUUCGGGCCACAUGCCAUUUCGAUGAACCCGAUAUGGGAUUAG